rnacentral:piRNA from 1 species
UAGAAGUGUUCUUUGCCACUUACUA